rnacentral:rRNA from 2 species
AGCAGCCGCGGUAAUUCCAGCUCCAAUAGCGUAUAUUAAAGUUGUUGCAGUUAAAAAGCUCGUAGUUGAAUUUCGAGACCGGUUUAUUGGUCGUGCUUUUGUACGUACUGGUAUUAUUGGUUUCUCCUUUCUGACGAAUCUUAAUGCCAUUAAUUUGGUGUUUUGGGGAAUCAGGACUGUUACUUUGAAAAAAUUAGAGUGUUUAAAGCAGGCUCACGCUUGAAUACAUUAGCAUGGAAUAACGGAAUAGGACGUUUGAUUCUAUUUUGUUGGUUUCUAGGAUCGACGUAAUGAUUAAUAGGGAUAGUUGGGGGCAUUAGUAUUCAAUUGUCAGAGGUGAAAUUCUUGGAUUUAUUGAAGACUAACUACUGCGAAAGCAUUUGCCAAGGAUGUUUUCAUUAAUCAAGAACGAAAGUUAGGGGAUCGAAGACGAUCAGAUACCGUCGUAGUCUUAACCAUAAACUAUGCCGACUAGGGAUCGGAUGAUGUUAAUUUUUUAAUGACUCA